ensembl:rRNA 5S_rRNA 5S ribosomal RNA
GUCUACGGCCAUACCACCCUCAACGUACCCAAUCUCAUCUGAUCUCGGGAGCUAAGCAGGGUUGGGCCUGGUUAGUACUUGGAUGGGAAACUGUUUUCUUUUCAAAAUUGUCUUGGCCAGUCUAGGUC